GACGAACGCUGGCGGCGUGCCUAAUACAUGCAAGUCGAACGCUGAAGGAGGAGCUUGCUUCUCUGGAUGAGUUGCGAACGGGUGAGUAACGCGUAGGUAACCUGCCUGGUAGCGGGGGAUAACUAUUGGAAACGAUAGCUAAUACCGCAUAAGAGUAGAUGUUGCAUGACAUUUGCUUAAAAGGUGCAAUUGCAUCACUACCAGUUGGACCUGCGUUGUAUUAGCUAGUUGGUGAGGUAACGGCUCACCAAGGCGACGAUACAUAGCCGACCUGAGAGGGGGGUUGGCCACACUGGGACUGAGACACGGCCCAGACUCCUACGGGAGGCAGCAGGAGGGAAUCUUCGGGAAUGGACGGAAGUCUGACCGAGCAACGCCGCGGGAGUGAAGAAGGUUUUCGGAUCGGAAAGCUCUGUUGUAAGAGAAGAACGAGUGUGAGAGUGGAAAGUUCACACUGUGACGGUAUCUGACCAGAAAGGGACGGCUAACUACGUG
rnacentral:rRNA from 1 species